UGAAGCACGCAUUCUAAGCCAAAAAAAAAAAUCUCUGAGGGGGAUUGUGUCGUUUUAAUGGGCGGUGUGAAUGAUGGAGAACAAGAAAUGGCCUUUCAAAAAAGACUAAGAUGCAGAAGUUCAGGGAAGGUGCAUGAGAUCAAGCUAAAAAGGAAAAUGAUUCCCAGGACAAUUGUUUGAGUUUUUAUGAAGCACAUUCAGAUCAUACACUACCAGUCAAAAGUUUUUGGACGACUUGUGCUAACCGUCUUCUCUGUGUGGUGAAGAGAGGUUAAUCCAGAUGAAGAGAUGGACAUAUAGACAGACACAGAGGCGCAGGGGAAUAGGAGCUCUCCACGAUGAGCCCUGACUUUUCAAAAGCCAUCACGUCGGAACAAAAGGUGUCUGCUGUUAAAGCUCAGCAGGUGUAUUCUGCAUUCUUUCACUCCAUGACUCAUCUUCACUGGUUAAUCCAUGGAUCUUCUCUAGAUUAUAAUCUUCUUCCUGACCCAUUAUUCCUUGCAUGGGAUUAAAUACAGUAUACAGAGGAAGUCAUUAAUUAUGAUGCAUUAAAAGAAGCCAAUGCCUAAAGCUUUAGGCAGUCCUAAUCUAAUUUAUAAAUUAGAAUGAAUAUAAAGAUUUUGAUAAAUAAGAAACAAAGAAACAUAAAAUGAUCAAUAAAUAUUUAAGAUUUUGCACUAUAAUAGGCCACUGAACAUUAAAAAAUUAUUGUUGGAUUAACUUAAAAAAGUUGGUUGCCUUAAAAUGUUGAGUUCAUUGAAAUAAAAAAAUUGAGUUAAUACAAUGAAGGAGAUUGGUUUAAUCAACAGAAACACAAAAUAGUAUGUUAUCUGAAACACAUAAAUGGUCUAAGUUGUUUUAACAACAACAACAAAAAAUGCUGUGAUAACAAAUCAGGAAAAUAACUUUUUUGCAGUAUGAUCAAAUAAGUAAAUCUGUGACCUUGAAGAAGAAACACCAAAUACUAAUAAAUCCUGGAAUUCAGGUAAAACAAAAUUCAUAUCAUAGUUUCACUGAAAUGGUUAUGAUGAUCAUUUGAUAUAAAUGACAUAUUAUAAUGAUAUAUUAUUUAUUUUAUAUAUUUAUAAAUAAAUAAAAUUUGACAUACAGGCAUUUUCACUUUGGACUAAAAAAACAUCAGGAAAUAUGGAGGAUAGGGCUUAUAUAUAAGGGAUUUAUUGAGGGGGAAAAAAACAAUAUUUGUCUUCUGGGUUAUAAUUUGAGUUGUGGUCAGCAUGUUAAAUAAUCUGUGUCAUCCAAAUCAGCAAAUUCUCUUGUUUGAUUUCUUAUUUUAAAUGUGAAAACAAAACAAAAACGAUCAUGUCUGAUCAGACAGGGAGGAAUACAACUUUCCUCAUUGACUUCUGCUGAAAUUGCACAAAAUGCUUCAAAUAUAAUAGGGGGGAGUUGGAGGAAUUGUUAGCUUACUGUUUAUUUUUUAUUUUAUUAACAAAAUAAAUACAUGGAUAAAGUGUGAACUCACAUUUUGAGUAUUGAGUUAGGUUGUAACAACAGCACUCUUUGUACCAUUGUUUAGUAUCAUUGAGAUGUUAUUUUCUUCUAAUAUUUUGAAUUAGUUUAAUUUUUAAUUUUGAUUUUAAAGUAUGUUGUUGUGCGUUUUUGUUAUUUGUAUAAGUUUUGUGGGGGGUUUUAAAUAUAGUUUUUAUACAUUUUUCAUUUUUAGUUAUUUUAGUACAUCAAGUUAAACUAAGUAAAAAUGAGAAAUGUUACUUGGGCAACUAAGCUGAAAUAAAUAAUACAUUUCAGUUAAUGUUUAUUUUUAUUUUAUUUACGAAAAUAUUAUUAAUAAUAUUUUAUUUAUUUUAGUUAUGGACAUUUUUUAAUAGUUUUAGUUAAUUAUAAUAACCCUGCUUUGUACUUGACAUUGUACAUGAAUUUAAUUUGUAGUAGAUAAUUGUGGUAAGAUUAUAUCAUCUUUUAUUUUACUUGAAUUUUAAUGUUUCAUCUUUACAAGGACAUUUAAAGGGUUAGUU